AGCGAAUGCCUGUUUUCUGCUGCGAAUGAAGACCUAGCCCCAAGCCUGGCUUUCAAUGAGCACUGCUGUGUUGAUCAAGACAUCCAGGAGCGACUGUUGAACUAUACAAACUUCAAUUCCAGUCACAAAAGACAUAACCUGACUCUUCUGAACGUCACGAGUGCUGACAGUGGGAAAUAUUUGUGCGUUGUUGCUGCCUGGCAACACGGUAAACUUGUGUGGCAAGUUCCUACUAACUGGUCAGUGGAUGUCCAGAUCGACAGAACGGCACCUACACAGUGGCAUAUCAUCUCUGGAGCUGUAGCUGGGAUUAUUUUUCUCAGUGUGACAGUAGGACUGAUCUUUCUGAAGAUAUUCAAAUCAAAAGAGAAAAAAACAACCACACAGCUUACCAGGUACUGCCUUGAAAGAAC